AUCCAGAUGAUGAGCCCCAAAUAGAACGAAACGCGCGUCGAAAUGGAU
rnacentral:hammerhead_ribozyme from 1 species